CACAUUCUGCUCUACUUUGUCGUGUCUAUGGGCCCCUCCCUCAGUGGGAAGGCUUAAGUUUUGUAAGAUUGACCAUAAGUGUGGUGAUAUUUCCUAAUUCCAGGGAAUGGAGCGAGUCAUGCCACACAUUUUUGCUGUUCUCACGAACUGAGACAAUCUUCUUAUGUUGCCAUUUUGAACUCCUGCACUCAAGUGAUCUUCCUGCCUUGGCCUCCCAAAGUGCUGGGAUUACAGGUGUGAGCCACUGCGCCCUGCCCAAGAAAUUCUGCUACCCGAGAGGUAUGACUCUUUGGAAUAAGGUGCUGUUCUCCUGGUGACCUUCUUAAAAAGCAAAUGUCUUUGAAAAAAAGUAACAUGGGAUUGGGCUGCCACAACAAAGUACCAUAGACUUGAUGGCUUAAACAACAGAGAUGGAUUUUCUCACAGUUCUGGAAGCUAGAAAUCUGAGAUCAAGGUAUCAGCAGGGGUGGUUUCAUUCUGAAGCUGCUCUUCUUGGCUUAGGGAUGGCCAUCUUCUCCCUAUGUCUUCACAUGGUCCUCUCUCUGUGCCUGUGCCUAAUCUGUUCUUUUAAGGAAUGAGUUGCAUUGGAUUAGAGCCUACUUUGGUGACCUCACUGUUACUUAAUUACCUCUUUCAAGACCCUGUCUUCAAAUACCGUCACAUUCUGAAGAACUGUGAGUUAGAACCACAACAUAUGAAUAUCAGGAGGACACAAUUCAGCCUUUAACAAUCUGUAAUAGGAAAACAUAUAGAGACAGAAGAUUAAUUAACAGAUGGUUGCUGUAUUAGUCCAUUUUCACACUCCUGACAAAGACAUACCUGAG